UCCGUCGGUGGAUAAUUAAGUCAGAGGUGAAAUCCUGCAGCUCAACUGUAGAAUUGCCUUUGAUACUGGUUAUCUUGAGUCAUUAUGAAGUGGUUAGAAUGUGUAGUGUAGCGGUGAAAUGCAUAGAUAUUACACAGAAUACCGAUUGCGAAGGCAGAUCACUAAUAAUGUACUGACACUGAGGGACGAAAGCGUGGGGAGCGAACAGGAUUAGAUACCCUGGUAGUCC
rnacentral:rRNA from 1 species